rnacentral:tRNA from 1 species
UCCCUGAUGGUCCAGUAGUUAGAACUCUGUGCUGUCACUGCUGAGAGCCUGGGUUCAAUCCCUGGUCAGGAAC